rnacentral:rRNA from 1 species
GAUGAACGCUGGCGGCGUGCCUAAUACAUGCAAGUCGAGCGAACAGACGAGGAGCUUGCUCCUCUGACGUUAGCGGCGGACGGGUGAGUAACACGUGGAUAACCUACCUAUAAGACUGGGAUAACUUCGGGAAACCGGAGCUAAUACCGGAUAAUAUAUUGAACCGCAUGGUUCAAUAGUGAAAGACGGUUUUGCUGUCACUUAUAGAUGGAUCCGCGCCGCAUUAGCUAGUUGGUAAGGUAACGGCUUACCAAGGCGACGAUGCGUAGCCGACCUGAGAGGGUGAUCGGCCACACUGGAACUGAGACACGGUCCAGACUCCUACGGGAGGCAGCAGUAGGGAAGCUUCCGCAAUGGGCGAAAGCCUGACGGAGCAGCGCCGCGUGAGUGAUGAAGGUCUUCGGAGCGUAAAACUCUGUUAUUAUGGAAGAACAAAUGUGUAAGUAACUAUGCACGUCUUGACGGUACCUAAUCAGAAAGCCACGGCUAACUACGUG